UUAAAUAAUCUUUUAUGUUUUAAGUGUAAAAGUUUUAUUCUAGCUUAAAAAUUUAUGCCUUAAUUUUUUUAUAUAUGUAAAAGUUAGAAUUAAAAAGUAGUAUUUAGUAUUAUACAACUUAAUAUAGGUAUAGAAAUUUAAGGACUAGAUUGAAUAAAUGUGUGCCAGCAUUCGCGGUUAGACGCAUAAUCUUCAAAAUUUACUUAGUAAAAUUUAAUUUUCUUACUUUUAAAAAAUUAAAUCCUUACCUACAGGUAAAAUUGUUUUAGGGGAUCAGAUCUUUUUUACAUUUAAAUAAAAUGGGAUUAGUAACCUGGAUUAGAUACCCAGUUAUUCCUAUUAAUCUAAUAUACUAAAGUAGUAAAUUCUUUUAAAACUUAAAGAAUUUGGCGGUAUUUUUACAUCUUAGAGGAACCUGUUAAGUAACCGAUAGCCCACGAUAUACUUUACAUUAUUUUACGCUUAUAUAUCGCUGUUAAAAGAAUAAAUUUAGAAAUUUUUUCUUUUUCUUAAAUAGUAUGAUGACAAGUCAAGGUGUAGUUUAUAAUAAUGUUUUAAUGGGUUACAUUAAUUUAUAAUUAUGGUUAAGGCUUUUAAAGGGCUGAAUAAAUUGGAUUUAAAUGUAAACUUAUGAUUAAAUAAAAUAGGUUGAUAAAUGUUCUAAAAUAUGUACACAUCGCCCGUCGCUCUCUUUAUAUACGAGAUAAGUCGUAACAAAGUAGGCCUGCCGGAAGGGAGGCCUUGAUAGAAAUUU
rnacentral:ncRNA from 1 species